UACGAAGGGGGGCUAGCGUUGCUCGGAAUUACUGGGCGUAAAGCGCACGUAGGCGGCUUCUUAAGUCGGUGGUGAAAUCCUGGAGCUCAACUCCAGAACUGCCUUCGAUACUGGGAGCUCGAGUCCGGGAGAGGUGAGUGGGAACUGCGAGUGUAGAGGUGAAAUUCGUAGAAUAUUCGCAAGAACACCAGUGGCGAAGGCGGACUCACUGGCCCGGUACUGACGCUGAGGUGCGGAAAGCGUGGGGAGCAAACAGGG
rnacentral:rRNA from 1 species